GCGCAGCAGGCGCGAAUUUUCACAAUGGGGGAAACCCUGAUGGAGCGACGCCGCGUGGAGGAUGAAGGCCCUCGGGUCGUAAACUCCUGUCAUGCGGGAACAAGAAAGUGAUAGUACCGCAAGAGGAAGAGACGGCUAACUCUGUGCCAGCAGCCGCGGUAAUACAGAGGUCUCAAGCGUUAUUCGGAUUCAUUGGGCGUAAAGGGUGCGUAGGUGGCGAUGUAAGUCUGGUGUGAAAUCUCGGGGGCUUAACCCCGAAACUGCAUUGGAUACUGCGUUGCUUGAGGAUUGUAGAGGAGAGUGGAAUUCACGGUGUAGCAGUGAAAUGCGUAGAUAUCGUGAGGAAGACCAGUUGCGAAAGGCGACUCUCUGGGCAAAUUCCUGACACUGAGGCACGAAGGCC
rnacentral:rRNA from 1 species